UGAGGGAUACAGGGCACAGGUGAGUGUACGUGUGUGAUGUGUCUGAGGGAUGCAGGGUACAGGUGAGUGUAUAUGUGUGAUGUGUCUGAGGGAUACAGGGCACAGGUGAGUGUAUGUGAUGUGGUUAAUAACAUUAUGUAGGUGUCGGCAAUGUUAGGGGCAGCAGAUUAGGGAUUAAUAAAUAUAAUGUAGGUGUCGGCGAUGUCGGGGUAGGCAGAUUAGGGGUGUUUAGACUCCGGGUUUAUGUUAGGGUGUUUGGUGUAAACAUAACUUUUGUUUCCCCAUAGGAAUCAGUGGGGCUGCGUUACGGAGCUUUACGCUCUUUUAUUGCAGGUGUUAGGCUUUUUUUUAGCCGUCUCUCCCCAUUGAUGUCUAUGGGGAAAUCGUGCACGAGCACGUAAAACCAGCUUACUGCAGCGCUGGUAUUUGAGUGCGGUAUGGAGCUCAAUUUUGCUCUACGCUCACUUCUUGCCUGCUAACGCCGGGUUUAUGAAAACCUGUAAUAGCAGUGCUGUAGGGAGGUGAGCGGUGACAAUAACUUGCAAGUUAGUACCGAGCCGCUCAUAACGCAAAACUCGUAAUCUAACCGAUAGACUCAGGUGUAUUUAAUUUAAAUUACACUGUUUUUCACAUUUUGUUUUAAACUAACUUUUAAAAAGAUACCAUGUAAAGAGUGAUUGAUUUAUUUCUAUUACU